GGGCGUGGCGGCGCUGCGGCGGGAAGCGCGGGCAGGGCCGGCGGCCUGCAGUUCCCCGGCGGCCGCCAUGACGGGCCAGGAGCCGUGCGGUCCGUGCGGCGGCCUGCUCGACUACAAGACGGUGAAGUUCUCGCUGACGCGGAACCGGCGGGUCGGGCUGCUGCACCGCCUGCUCCAGCUCGGCGUGCUGGGCUACCUCUUCGGGUGGGUGCUGCUGGUGCAGAAGGGCUACCAGGACACCGACCCAGCCCCCCGCGCCGCCGUUGUCACCAAGCUGAAGGGGGCGGCGGUCGCCGAGGUGGGGGGCGCGGGCCGGCGGCUGUGGGACGCGGCGGACUACGUCCGGCCCCCUCAGGGAGAAAAUGUGCUUUUUCUGGUGACCAAUUUCAUUGCUACAGCAAGGCAAGGCCAGGGCACCUGUCCCGAGAGCCCCUCUGUUCUUGAUGGGAUGUGCACAGAAGAUGCAGACUGUCUCAUGGGAAACCCGGUGGUUCGUGGCAACGGGAUAAAAACUGGGAAAUGUGUGAUGUUCAACACCACCCAUUCCACCUGUGAGAUCUAUGGCUGGUGUCCUGUGGAGAACACCACCCUGCCCAGGAAACCUCUUCUGGCUGAGGCGGAGAAUUUCACUCUUUUUAUAAAAAACACUGUCCACUUCACCAAAUUCAACUUCUCCAAGUGCAAUACUUUGCAAACCAAUGACCCCACCUAUUUCAAGAGUUGCACGUACGAUCCAUUCUUCAACCCCUCCUGCCCCAUCUUCCGUGUCCGUGACAUGGUGGAGGCAGCUGGAGAGACCUUUGGGGACCUCGCGCUGCUGGGGGGGAGCAUCGGAGUUCGCAUCGAGUGGGACUGUGACCUGGAUCACCCCGCUGCCCAGUGCCAGCCGCAGUACUCCUUCAGCCUGCAGAACAGGAGGUACAAUUUUAGAACUGCCUCCUACUACUGGGACUCCCAGCGGCGGCUCUACCGGAACCUGCUGAAGCUCUACGGCAUCCGCUUCGACAUCUCCGUGCACGGCCAGGCUGGGAAGUUCGGCAUAAUUCCUGUUGCCGUGAGCUUCGGCACCAGCAUCGCAUUCUUUGGUGCCGUGAGUACUCCAGAUACACUUUUUUUUCCUCCGGUCCAUGGGUUGGGAUUUGCCACUCAUCUGUUGUUUCCCCUGCCUGCCUGCCUGGGCACAAGGCUUCCUGGGUGCCUGCCAGCCCGGGAAGGGGAGAUUGUCUGGCAGGGUGUUAGCUUCCAUUUUCCUAUUUGUGACCGUUAGCAGUAAUGACAUUGCCGGAUCAAGGAUCCUGAGCACUGUCCGGGGCACAUCUCAUGGAGGCUGGGUAUUUGUGUUGACCCUGGGAAGGCGCAUCACUGGGGCAUUGCUGGCUAGUCUGUUCCAGCUAUCUCGGCCAGCAGGAGAGAGCACCUCUUCUCUGUGUUUCUUCCCUGACUCUAAAGGGAACCAGUGUCCGGCUCCAGUACAGACAUGGCAUUGCAGUCAUUGAGACAGGGCAGCCCCUUGUAGAGCACUUCUGUGGUUCUUCCCUUGCAGCAGAGUAAUGGGGAGCCUGGGGUCCCCCACACGCCCCCUCUUUCCUCUCAGACAUGCUCAUCCCAGUCCCUUACAUGGCUGUGAUGGUGGCUCUCCGCUGGACCAGCCCUCACCCUCCAUCCCUCAUUGCAGCCCAGAUGACCACGUCUAACCUCCUGUGCAGCUCAGGAGAGCAGGCUGGGUCAAAGAGGACCUGGUGGAGCUGCCUGGCUGGCCUGGGCCGGAGGCAGGUCAGGCUCGCUGCCCCCAACACGGGCCAGGUGCUGGAGUUUGGCCCACAGCCGGCUGUAGGGCUCGGUGGGAGCCAGGGCAGAGGGCCUGGCACUCCUGCAGGAAGUUUUGCUGCUGACUGCCCUGCUGUGUUUGUCUGUCUCCAGGCCACAGUGGUCUGUGACCUGGUUCUGCUCUACCUGGAUGCAAAGGCUGACGUCUAUUGGAAGGAGAAGUUCGAGGAGGCAAAACCUCCUAAAGGUAAGACCGAGGCUGCAGCUUAAGGACAUCGGGAAUGCUCCACCACAAGCACC